GACGAACGCUGGCGGCGUGCCUAAUACAUGCAAGUCGAACGCAGUGGGGACGGGUGAGUAACACGUGGGUAACCUCCCAUCAGAGGGGAUAACACUUGGAAACAGGUGCUAAACCGAUACUGAUGGAUGGACCCGCGGUGCAUUAGCUAGUUGGUGAGGUAACGGCUCACCAAGGCCACGAUGCAUAGCGUACCUGAGAGGGUGUUGAGCCACACUGGGACUGAGGAACGGCCCAGAUUCUUACGGGAGGCGUCAGUAGGGAAUUUUCGGCAAUGGACGAAAGUCUGACCGAGAAACGCCGCGUAUGUGAAACAGGUUAUCGGACCGUAAAACUCUGUUGUUAGAGCAGCGGUAUCUAAACAGAAAGCCACGGCUAACUACGUGCCAGCAGCCGCGGUAAUAC
rnacentral:rRNA from 1 species